GUUGGCGGAGCAAACAAAGUUCUAGUAUAAGCAAUAACCAAUAAAGAGCAAAAAUAUUUUAAUCAUGAACCAUCAACUUUAACAUUUCAUAAAAACGAGCUUAUUAGCUCAAACAUACAUUUCGUUAAUAAAGCCUCACCUGAUUUGAGACAAUCCAAACAAUUUAACUCAGCUGAUCAAGAGCCUGAAUAUCCUCUUCUGUAGGACCUACAAGAUAAGUUCUCAACUUAAACUCAUAGUCCUAAAAUCAAGUUUAACCUUCAUGACUUGUCAUCAUUUUCUAACUAGAUUCGCAACACCCGGGUUUUCAAAAAUUCAACAUAAAACUUGAAAAUCAUUUUUCUUGGCUAAGGGUUUCAAUAAUACCCUUGCUCAAGCUUUUAUUUUAAAACUCAAUUUAAUCAUAAUUGCUUUUAUGUAAAAUGUAUAACGCAAAUUCUUUUAAUGCUUUAAAACACAUAUCUCAGUAAUUACAUCCAAUACAUAUGCAUAUGCAAUCAUAUUUAAAUAAUUAAUUAAACUCAAUUAAGAGUCUAAUUAAUUAAUUUAAACAAAUCAAUUAAUAAAUAAGUAAAUUCAUGGCCCAAUUAGUAAUUUAAUAAGAGGCCAUCUUCGUGCAAAAACGCAGCCCAAAAAUAUAAUCAAUAGCCCAAGUUAUAAAAAUGCAGUCCACUUUAUUUAAUUAGAGGCCCAAUAACUGGAGCCCAACCCAACUCAUCAAUCUCUCUAUCUUUCUCACUCUCUCGUUCAUCCCCCUCAUACCAUCCCUCACCAAAAUCCCCAAAUCAGAAACCCUAGCUUCUCCCCCCUACGAUUUCCGGCGAGAUUACCGCCGGAACCACCGCCUCCUUCCCCUCUCGCUCUUCUGAUCGACAGCCACGGUCAGCCGGACCACCGCCAUCACCGCCUCCCUCAUCCUCUCUGAGAUCGCCUCCGCCCCUCUCCUUGACAGACGAACAGCAGCAGCCAUCGGCCACCACCGUCGUCGAUCUCCCAUCUCUGGACCACCGAUCGACCUCAAAGGCAGAGACCGCCAUUGCUCGCUCCGCCGAACAGCUCCGCUGUCCAGCCGCCUCUCCUCUCUCUCUAUCGACGGGCAACAGGAGCUACCAGCCCGCCACCACCUCCGGUCCUCCCUCCUUUCUACCUCGACUCCAAUCCGUCCUGACUCACAACAGCAACAACAUCUCAGAACUCACGCCCACACACACACACAGUGCAUAGAUACACCUUCCUUUUCUUUUCUUUAAUCCAAUUUGUGCUAAUUCUAAAUGUAGAAGGAAGAACAUUUUAUGGAACUCAUUUUUCAGAAAAUAACAAGAAAUGCAGAUGAUUCUGGAGAGUGGUUGAGGAAGAAUUUUAAGUGUAAGAAGUUCUCUGUACUAAGUGUGAGGAGAUUUUCUUACUGACCGAGGGGCGAAGAACUCGGAUAGACUAUGGUGGUUUUAUAGGGCGACGUGGAAGUGCCCCAUUCAUAUAAAUUUUUACUCAUGAACUGUAGCUUGUUUGCUUGAAAAGGAAAUUCUUAAAUGGUUAUAAGAAUUACAUCUAUUAUAUAA